UAGCGCAACCACUUGUGAAUCUCCAACACUCGGCUUUGUCCACGACUUUGUUGAAGAAUUGCAGGUGGUAGGUG
rnacentral:pre_miRNA from 10 species